UCCCCUCUGCCCUCUUGCUUGCGGCGGCCGCGGCAGCGGCAGCGCAUGCAGCGCCGGCGGUCGCCGCCGCUCUGCUCUUCUCUCCCUGCCUCUAUCUCGCUCUACUUUCUCUCAUGUCCGUGUCUCUCUGUCUCUGUCUUACUCUCUGUUUCUCUCCCUCGCUCAAACUCUCUCUGCUACUGGCGGCCACCGCGGACCGCCGUGGCGCAGGCAACGCCGGCAGUCGCGCCUUUGCCGCGGUGGCUCGCGGCUGCUGCUAUCGCUUGCCUCUUCUUCCUCCUCUGUUUCUGUUUCUCUUACUUUCUUUCUUUUCUAGUUUAAUAGCUUGUUUAGCAAAUCCCUAACUAUUUCCUUAUCUCAGGAAUCGAUGAUGAUUCAACUCCGGCGAGGCAGCCCGCCUCCUGAUCAAUGCUCAAGAUUCUAUUUUUUCUACCUUUCUUAUUGUAAAUUUAUGUUCUUUCAUUGAUUGAUUAUUGAAAAACUGAAGCUGUAAUGGUUGGGAAAUCGUGCUGUGCUUAUAGAAAUUAGAGUUAGAGAUAUCUCUGUUUGUGCUUAACUGGUGUAGCUAUGUCUGUUUUCACUGCUUUUCUUUACAUACUGAAUAUACUGUAUUGAAUAAGAAAGACUACCUUCUUUGAUGUCUGCUGUGGAGGAUGUGUGUUUGAAUGGAUGAUUGCUGCGUGUUUUAG
rnacentral:lncRNA from 1 species